AGCGGCUGGAGUUGGGGCAAUUAACAAUCCCCUCGCCUUUUACUAGGGGAUUCCGUGUCCCAACUUCACUUCGAAGCCGUAUCAGCAAUUUUUCAGAACAUCGCUUCGUCGCGAAGC
rnacentral:snRNA from 1 species